rnacentral:rRNA from 3 species
AUUGACAUCUUGAACGCAUAUUGCGGCCCCGGGUCACUCCCGGGGCCACGCCUGGCUCAGGGUCGUAUAGAACGAGAGAUCGCUGGUGUUUGUUCACCGGCGCCUUGGGAUGUCGGAGGCCGCGCUCGCUCGCACAUUCGUGUGUGUUGUUGUGUGUGUGUCUCCGUCUCCUCAAAUUCAGACUGGCUCCUCGAGUGUUUUUUACCUCGGGGGACGGCCGGACGAGCGUGUUUCGUUUGGCUUCCUCCGAUACUUAAAAACAUCUCAAAAAAGCAAUUUUCAUUCUUCGACCUGAGCUCAGACGAGAGU